UACGGAGGGGGCUAGCGUUGUUCGGAAUUACUGGGCGUAAAGGGCGCGUAGGCGGUGCGGUACGUUGGGCGUGAAAGGCCCGGGCUCAACCCGGGGACUGCGCUUGAUACUGUCGCGCUGUGAGUCCGGGAGAGGAUGGCGGAAUUCCCAGUGUAGAGGUGAAAUUCGUAGAUAUUGGGAAGAACACCGGUGGCGAAGGCGGCCAUCUGGACCGGCACUGACGCUGAGGCGCGAAAGCGUGGGGAGCAAACAGG
rnacentral:rRNA from 1 species